GUAUAGGGGAGCCGCAGGGAAACCGAGUCUUAACUGGGCGUUAAGUUGCAGGGUAUAGACCCGAAACCCGGUGAUCUAGCCAUGGGCAGGUUGAAGGUUGGGUAACACUAACUGGAGGACCGAACCGACUAAUGUUGAAAAAUUAGCGGAUGACUUGUGGCUGGGGGUGAAAGGCCAAUCAAACCGGGAGAUAGCUGGUUCUCCCCGAAAGCUAUUUAGGUAGCGCCUCGUGAACUCAUCUUCGGGGGUAGAGCACUGUUUCGGCUAGGGGGUCAUCCCGACUUACCAACCCGAUGCAAACUACGAAUACCGAAGAAUGUUAUCACGGGAGACACACGGCGGGUGCUAACGUCCGUCGUGAAGAGGGAAACAACCCAGACCGCCAGCUAAGGUCCCAAAGUCAUGGUUAAGUGGGAAACGAUGUGGGAAGGCACAGACAGCCAGGAUGUUGGCUUAGAAGCAGCCAUCAUUUAAAGAAAGCGUAAUAGCUCACUGGUCGAGUCGGCCUGCGCGGAAGAUGUAACGGGGCUAAACCAUGCACCGAAGCUGCGGCAGCGACACUAUGUGUUGUUGGGUAGGGGAGCGUUCUGUAAGCCUGCGAAGGUGUGCUGUGAGGCAUGCUGGAGGUAUCAGAAGUGCGAAUGCUGACAUAAGUAACGAUAAAGCGGGUGAAAAGCCCGCUCGCCGGAAGACCAAGGGUUCCUGUCCAACGUUAAUCGGGGCAGGGUGAGUCGACCCCUAAGGCGAGGCCGAAAGGCGUAGUCGAUGGGAAACAGGUUAAUAUUCCUGUACUUGGUGUUACUGCGAAGGGGGGACGGAGAAGGCUAUGUUAGCCGGGCGACGGUUGUCCCGGUUUAAGCAUGUAGGCUG
rnacentral:rRNA from 1 species